rnacentral:rRNA from 1 species
AAAACAUGUCUCUUUGUAAAAUAUAAAUAGAGAGUCGGGCCUGCUCGGUGAAUAAGUUUUUAACAGCUGCGGUAUUUUAACUGUACUAAGGUAGCAUAAUAAUUUGCCUUAUAAUUUGAGGCUAGAAUGAAUGGUUUGACGAAGGUUAAUCUGUCUCCACCUUAUUUUUUAGAAGUUAAUUUUUAAAGUGAAAAAGCUUAAAUCUUUCAAAGGGACGAGAAGACCCUAAUGAGCUUAUAAUUUUAUUAUCAUUAUUUAAAAUAUUUAGGUGGUGGUAUAUAAAUUUUAAUUGGGGUGAUUAAGGAAUAAAUUGUGUAUAGUAACUUCCUUAAAUUAGGUAUUUGUAGAUAAAGUAACCAAUGUAAUAUUGCUUAUAGUAUAGUUACCAUAGGGAUAACAGCGUAAUUUGUUUAGAGAGUUCUUAUUGAAAAACGAGAUUGCGACCUCGAUGUUGGAUUAAAGUAACCCUAGGGUGCAGAAGCUUUAGUAGGUAAAUCUGUUCGAUUUUUAAUACUUUACGU